GUAGGUGGCAAGCGUUGUCCGGGAAUUAUUGGGGCGUAAAGCGCGCGCAGGCGGUUCUUUAAGUCUGAUGUGAAAGCCCACGGGCUCAACCGUGGGAGGGUCAUUGGAAGCUGGAGAACUUGAGUACAGAAGAGGAAAGCGGAAUUCCACGUGUAGCGGUGAAAUGCGUAGAGAUGUGGAGGAACACCAGUGGCGAAGGCGGCUUUCUGGUCUGUAACUGACGCUGAGGCGCGAAAGCGUGGGGAGCAAACAGGAUUAGAUACCCUGUAGUCCACGCCGUAAACGAUGAGUGCUAAGUGUUAGGGGGUUUCCGCCCCUUAGUGCUGCAGCUAACGCAUUAAGCACUCCGCCUGGGGAGUACGGCCGCAAAGGCUGA
rnacentral:rRNA from 1 species